UCUGUAGCUGGUCUGAGAGGAUGAUCAGCCACACUGGGACUGAGACACGGCCCAGACUCCUACGGGAGGCAGCAGUGGGGAAUAUUGGACAAUGGGCGAAAGCCUGAUCCAGCCAUGCCGCGUGUGUGAAGAAGGCCUUUUGGUUGUAAAGCACUUUAAGUGGGGAGGAAAAGCUUAUGGUUAAUACCCAUAAGCCCUGACGUUACCCACAGAAUAAGCACCGGCUAACUCUGUGCCAGCAGCCGCGGUAAUACAGAGGGUGCAAGCGUUAAUCGGAAUUACUGGGCGUAAAGCGCGCGUAGGUGGUUAUUUAAGUCAGAUGUGAAAGCCCCGGGCUUAACCUGGGAACUGCAUCUGAUACUGGAUAACUAGAGUAGGUGAGAGGGGAGUAGAAUUCCAGGUGUAGCGGUGAAAUGCGUAGAGAUCUGGAGGAAUACCGAUGGCGAAGGCAGCUCCCUGGCAUCAUACUGACACUGAGGUGCGAAAGCGUGGGUAGCAAACAGGAUUAGAUACCCUGGUAGUCCACGCCGUAAACGAUGUCUACCAGUCGUUGGGUCUUUUAAAGACUUAGUGACGCAGUUAACGC
rnacentral:rRNA from 1 species